rnacentral:rRNA from 1 species
UACGGGGGGAGCAAGCGUUGUUCGGAUUUACUGGGCGUAAAGGGCGCGUAGGCGGCCAGCACAAGUCAGUUGUGAAAUCUCCGAGCUUAACUCGGAACGGUCACUGAUACUGUCGGGCUAGAGUGCGGAAGAGGCGAGUGGAAUUCCUGGUGUAGCGGUGAAAUGCGCAGAUAUCAGGAGGAACACCUAUUGCGAAGGCAGCUCGCUGGGACGUAACUGACGCUGAGACGCGAAAGCGUGGGGAGCAAACAGG